rnacentral:rRNA from 1 species
UCUGGGAUAAGCCUGGGAAACUGGGUCUAAUACCGGAUAUGACUUCUCAUCGCAUGGUGGGGGGUGGAAAGCUUUUGUGGUUUUGGAUGGACUCGCGGCCUAUCAGCUUGUUGGUGGGGUAAUGGCCUACCAAGGCGACGACGGGUAGCCGGCCUGAGAGGGUGACCGGCCACACUGGGACUGAGACACGGCCCAGACUCCUACGGGAGGCAGCAGUGGGGAAUAUUGCACAAUGGGCGCAAGCCUGAUGCAGCGACGCCGCGUGAGGGAUGACGGCCUUCGGGUUGUAAACCUCUUUCAGUAGGGAAGAAGCCCUCUUUUGGGGGUGACGGUACUUGCAGAAGAAGCGCCGGCUAACUACGUGCCAGCAGCCGCGGUAAUACGUAGGGCGCAAGCGUUAUCCGGAAUUAUUGGGCGUAAA